rnacentral:rRNA from 1 species
GACGAAUGCUGGCUGCGUGCUUAACACAUGCAAGUCGAACGGUGAAAGGGAGCUUGCUCCCUGGAUCAGUGGCGGACGGGUGAGUAACACGUGGGCAACCUGCCCCUCACUCUGGGAUAACUCCCGGAAACCGGGGCUAAUACCGGAUACGACCUGGUGCGACAUCGCACCGGGUGGAAAGAACUUCGGUGAGGGAUGGGCCCGCGGCCUAUCAGCUUGUUGGUGGGGUAACGGCCCACCAAGGCGACGACGGGUAGCCGGCCUGAGAGGGCGACCGGCCACACUGGGACUGAGACACGGCCCAGACUCCUACGGGAGGCAGCAGUGGGGAAUAUUGCGCAAUGGGCGAAAGCCUGACGCAGCGACGCAGCGUGAGGGACGAAGGCCUUCGGGUUGUAAACCUCUUUCAGCGGGGACGAAGCGAAAGUGACGGUACCCGCAGAAGAAGCACCGGCUAACUACGUGCCAGCAGCCGCAGUAA